rnacentral:piRNA from 1 species
UUCACAGAAGAGCCUCUACAAAGAUGUGA